UUUGCACCCUGGCUCUCCAGGCACUCCAGCUGCCUCUCCACUUGUUCCGUCUGUGCAUGCACACGGAUGUGUUUGAUUAUUGGACCUGCCUGUCACCCCCCAUGACUUCACAUCUUCGCACUUCUGAUGACUCUGGAUGGCUCUGCUUGAUGAAGUGCUGCAUUUGACACCACCAAGGACCCCUGGAAUAGACAGUGAGGCCCUAAGAUUGGAUCAUCUUUUCUUCUUCCUGUGAAGUUAGAAGGAGCGAGAAGAAAGCAGUCAUUCUGCUCCUGAAAAUGCCUUCCAUGCAUGAUCUCCAGAAGCCUAAGCAUUGGAUAGUCAUCACUUAUGAAAGGGUCAAUUAAGAGGGCUUUUUUGAUAUGGGACUCAAGAAUCUCUUAACAUGUCUCUGAUCCCAGCACUUGAGAGGUGUACGCCUUUAAUACCAGCACAAUUGGGAGGUGGAGACAAGAUCUCAGGCCCCAUUUGGUCUGAGGAUUUGUAGAGAUGAGAACAGUUAUUUUAAGCAAGAUGUGGACUGGGGGUGUCUCCUUCCUGUUUUCCUGCAUUUCCAGGUGACCUCACUGUGUUCCCCUUCUCAGAUCUCAGCCUCUCUUCACCUGGACAUGUCAGUCUUCUAGCAGAGCCAAUGAGUGCAGGGUAGGUGGAGUUCCAGCCUGUGAAUGAAGGGUCAUGUGGAAGAGGAAAUGAUACAACUAUACUAUAAUC